UACGGAAGGCAGCAGUGGGGAAUAUUGCACAAUGGGCGAAAGCCUGAUGCAGCUAUGCCGCGUGUAUGAAGAAGGCCUUAGGGUUGUAAAGUACUUUCAUCGGGGAGGAAAAACAAAACUAAUAAUUUUAUUUCUUGACGUUACCCGAAAAAGAAGCACCGGCUAACUCCGUGCCAGCAGCCGCGGUAAUACGGAGGGUGCUAGCGUUAAUCAGAAUUACUGGGCGUAAAGAGCACGUAGGUGGUUUUUUUAAAGUCAGAUGUGAAUCCCUGGGCUUAACCUAGGAACUGCAUUUUGAAACUGAAAUACUAGAGUAUCGUAGAGGGAGGUAGAAUUCUAGGUGUAGCGGUGAAAUGCGUAGAUAUCUGGAGGAUACCUGUGGCGAAAGCGGCCUCCUAAACGAAUACUGACACUGAGGUGCGAAAGCGUGGGGAGCAAACGAGGGAUUAGACUACC
rnacentral:rRNA from 1 species